AAACGCGCUUCACAUAGUUUUGCCUGUCGAAGCCACCACAGCGUCAAUCGCAAGAGGGGCACCUCGCGACUACACUCGGAUAUUGCUGGCAUGCAAGGAGGAAGCGGGGAA
rnacentral:lncRNA from 1 species